UACGUAGGGCGCAAGCGUUGUCCGGAAUUAUUGGGCGUAAAGAGCUCGUAGGCGGUUUGUCGCGUCGGAUGUGAAAGCCCGGGGCUUAACCCCGGGUCUGCAUUCGAUACGGGCAGACUAGAGUGCGGUAGGGGAGAUUGGAAUUCCUGGUGUAGCGGUGGAAUGCGCAGAUAUCAGGAGGAACACCGGUGGCGAAGGCGGGUCUCUGGGCAGUAACUGACGCUGAGGAGCGAAAGCGUGGGGAGCGAACAGG
rnacentral:rRNA from 1 species